AGGGAUCAUUACCGAGUCCCAGGAGCUCAGACCCGACCGCGAACCCGAGGUCGUUGCUUCGGCGGGCCGCCCCUCCAACCCCGGGGGGGCGCCCGCCGGAGGUCCCCCGUGGAACGCUCUAGCGGCGGCACGCCCGCCGGAUCCUGCCCUCUGAAUUACGCUUCCAAACCAGUAAAAACUUUCAACAACGGAUCUCUUGGUUCCG
rnacentral:misc_RNA from 1 species